UUUGCACACAUAACCCAAAGAGCAUUAUAUCAUUCUGUAAUGUUCUUGUCUGUUGUGCAUAAAUAAAAUUUACCUUGUCGCCUUUCAGAAGUUUUCUAUAUUCCUGAAAGUGAAAUUUAAGGUAUCACAAUG